AGAGUUUGAUCCUGGCUCAGGAUGAACGCUGGCGGCAGGCUUAAUACAUGCAAGUCGAACGGUAAGGCCGAUCGUAGCAAUACGGGAGGCACACGAGUGGCGCACGGGUGCGUAACGCGUAUGCAACCUGCCCCCGACCGGGACAAAACGCUGAGAAAUCGGCGCUAAUAUCCCAUGCUGAUGCGGAGCGGCAUCGCUUUGCAUCGAAAGAUUGAUUGGUCGGGGAUGGGCAUGCGUGCCAUUAGCUAGUUGGUGGGGUAAGGGCCCACCAAGGCGACGAUGGCUAGGGGUUCUGAGAGGAAGGUCCCCCACACUGGAACUGAGACACGGUCCAGACUCCUACGGGAGGCAGCAGUAGGGAAUAUUGGGCAAUGGGAGCAAUCCUGACCCAGCCAUGCCGCGUGCAGGAAGACGGCCCUAUGGGUUGUAAACUGCUUUUGCCGGGGAGUAACCCCGGGGACGUGUCCCCGGCUGAGAGUACCCGGCGAAUAAGCACCGGCUAACUCCGUGCCAGCAGCCGCGGUAAUACGGAGGGUGCGAGCGUUAUCCGGAUUCAUUGGGUUUAAAGGGUGCGCAGGCGGACGGCCAAGUCGUGGGUGAAAUCCCGCCGCUCAACGGUGGAUGUGCCUACGAUACUGGUCGACUGGAGUUCUGGUGGCGCGGCCGGAAUGUGACGUGUAGCGGUGAAAUGCAUAGAUAUGUCACAGAACGCCGAUCGUGAAGACAGGCCGCGAACCGGAGACUGACGCUCAUGCACGAAAGCGUGGGUAUCAAACAGGAUUAGAUACCCUGGUAGUCCACGCCGUAAACGAUGACCACUCGUUCCCGGGCCGCGAGGUUCGGGGGCCAAGCGAAAGCGAUAAGUGGUCCACCUGGGGAGUACGAUCGCAAGGUUGAAACUCAAAGGAAUUGACGGGGGCCCGCACAAGCGGAGGAGCAUGUGGUUUAAUUCGAUGAUACGCGAGGAACCUUACCCGGGCUUGAACGUGCAAGGACGAUGCGAGAGAUCGCAUUUCCCUUCGGGGCCUUGUGCGAGGUGCUGCAUGGUUGUCGUCAGCUCGUGCCGUGAGGUGUUAGGUUAAGUCCUGCAACGAGCGCAACCCCUGCCCGCAGUUGCCAUCAGGUAGAGCUGGGCACUCUGCGGGGACUGCCCGCGCAAGCGUGGAGGAAGGCGGGGAUGACGUCAAAUCAGCACGGCCCUUAUGUCCGGGGCUACACACGUGCUACAAUGGCCGGCACAGAGGGGAGCCACCCAGCGAUGGGGAGCGGAUCCCGAAAGCCGGUCCCAGUUCGGAUCGGAGUCUGCAACCCGACUCCGUGAAGUUGGAUUCGCUAGUAAUCGCGCAUCAGCCAUGGCGCGGUGAAUACGUUCCCGGGCCUUGUACACACCGCCCGUCAAGCCAUGGAAGCCGGUGGUACCUGAAGUCCGUGCCCGCAAGGAGCGGCCUAGGGUAAAACGGGUAACUGGGGCUAAGUCGUAACGAGGUAGCCGUACCGGAAGGUGUGGCUGGAACACCUCCUU
rnacentral:rRNA from 1 species